rnacentral:rRNA from 1 species
GAUGAACGCUGGCGGCGUGCCUAAUACAUGCAAGUCGAGCGAACAGACGAGGAGCUUGCUCCUCUGACGUUAGCGGCGGACGGGUGAGUAACACGUGGAUAACCUACCUAUAAGACUGGGAUAACUUCGGGAAACCGGAGCUAAUACCGGAUAAUAUAUUGAACCGCAUGGUUCAAUAGUGAAAGACGGUUUUGCUGUCACUUAUAGAUGGAUCCGCGCCGCAUUAGCUAGUUGGUAAGGUAACGGCUUACCAAGGCAACGAUGCGUAGCCGACCUGAGAGGGUGAUCGGCCACACUGGAACUGAGACACGGUCCAGACUCCUACGGGAGGCAGCAGUAGGGAAUCUUCCGCAAUGGGCGAAAGCCUGACGGAGCAAAGCCGCGUGAGUGAUGAAGGUCUUCGGAUCGUAAAACUCUGUUAUUAGGGAAGAACAAAUGUGUAAGUAACCAUGCACGUCUUGACGGUACCUAAUCAGAAAGCCACGGCUAACUACGU